rnacentral:rRNA from 1 species
UAAUGUCUGGGGAUCUGCCUGAUGGCGGGGGAUAACUACUGGAAACGGUAGCUAAUACCGCAUAAUGUCUGCAGACCAAAGCGGGGGACCUCCGGGCCUCGCGCCAUCAGAUGAACCCAUAUGGGAUUAGCUAGUAGGUAAGGUAACGGCUCACCUAGGCGACGAUCCCUAGCUGGUCUGAGAGGAUGAUCAGCCACACUGGGACUGAGACACGGCCCAG